GUAUGGAAACCUACUAAGUGAUAACUUUCAAUUCAGGGAAACCCCGGAAUUAAUAAAAAUGGGCAAUCCUGAGCCAAAUCCUGUUUUCUCAAAACAAAGGUUCAGAAAGCAAAAAAGGGAUAGGUGCAGAGACUCAACGGAAGCUGUUCUAACAAAUGGAGUUGACUAUGUUGGUAGAGGAAUCUUUCCAUCAAAACUUCAGAAAGGAUGAAGGAUAAAUGUAUCUAUUGAAAACUAUAUCAAAUGAUUAAUGAUGGCCCAAAUUCUGUAUCUGUUUUUUUUAUAUGAAAAAUGGAAGAAUUGAUGUGAAUUGAUUCCAUAUUGAAGAAAGAAUCAAAUAUUCAUUCAUCAAAUCAUUCACUCCACAGUCUGGUAGUUCUUUUAAAGAACUGAUAAUCGGACGAGAAUAAAGAUAGAGUCCCAUUCUACAUGUCAAUACCGGCAACAAUUAAAUUUAUAGUAAGAGGAAAAUCCGUCGACUUUAAAAUCGUGAGGGUUCAAGUCCCUCUAUCCCCAAAGAAACUAUUUUAUUUGACUCCCAAAAUCCUUAUCCUACCCUCUCUCCUUCGGUUACAAAUUUCUUUUCUGCGUCUUUGACAAACGAAGUUGGGCAUAAACGUAAAUGACUUUAUCUUCUCCCAUGUGAUAUAGAAUACACAUCAAAAUUUAGAAAAAAAUCCCGAUUCGAAUGAAUUCACAAUCAAUAGCUUUACGAAUACUGAAACUCAUAAAGUGAUCUUUUUGGAAAUCAAAGAAAUUGAAGUAUUUGGAGAAAAAUUUGUAAUCCCCCCUUUCCCUUUAAUUGACAUAGACCCCGUUUAUCGACUAAAAUAAUCAAAUGCGUAUGGAUUACUACGCUGGGAAUGGUCGGGAUAGCUCAGCC
rnacentral:misc_RNA from 1 species